rnacentral:rRNA from 1 species
AUUGAACGCUGGCGGCAGGCCUAACACAUGCAAGUCGAGCGAGCGGCGGACGGGUGAGUAAUGUCUGGGAAACUGCCUGAUGGAGGGGGAUAACUACUGGAAACGGUAGCUAAUACCGCAUACCAUCAGAUGUGCCCAGAUGGGAUUAGCUAGUAGGUGGGGUAAUGGCUCACCUAGUCGACGAUCCCUAGCUGGUCUGAGAGGAUGACCAGCCAACCUGUAACUGAGCCACAGUCCAGACUCCUACGGGAGGCAGCGUUGGGGAAUAGUGCACAAUGGGCGCAAGCCUGAUGCAGACAUGCCGCGUGUGUGAAGAAGGCCUUCAGGUUGUAAAGCACUUUCAGCGGGGAGGCGUUACCCGCAGAAGAAGCACCGGCUAACUCCGUGCCAGCAGCCGCGGUAAUAC